rnacentral:rRNA from 1 species
CAAUAGCGUAUAUUAAAGUUGUUGUAGUUAAAAAGCUCGUAGUUGGAUUUCGGGGUGGCCUGCCUGGUCCACCGCAAGGUGAGUACUGGUCAGCCGCCCUUCCUCUCGAAAGCCCCGACUGCUCUUCAUUGCAGUGGUCGGGUAGUUCGGGACGUUUACUUUGAAAAAAUUAGAGUGUUCAAGGCAGGCUCUCGCCUGAAUACAUUAGCAUGGAAUAAUGGAAGAGGACCUCGGUCCUAUUUUGUUGGUUUCUAGGGCCGAAGUAAUGAUUAAGAGGGACAGUUGGGGGCAUUCGUAUUUAAUUGUCAGAGGUGAAAUUCUUGGAUUUAUGAAAGACGAACUAGUGCGAAAGCAUUUGCCAAGGAUGUUUUCAUUAA